AAGGACAAGACAAAGUCAACGGGGUUAGCUCGAAAAUUACGGUCUAGUAAAGAUAGAACGUUGAAUCAGCAUCCCAGUUCGAUCCCGAAUUCAUUAAGAUUAUCGGGAGUUCGAUCGGUUCACACUAUCCAACAGUCAAUUUGGUAGUUUUUGAGUAUUUUGACCAAGAUUUAUGAUGACAUGUAUAGGGUGAUGAUAUGUAAUGGUAUAUUGGCGAAUGUGUUAAUGGUAUUUUGGCAUAUAUAA